CCUACGGGAGGCAGCAGCAGGGAAUUUUGCGCAAUGGGCGAAAGCCUGACGCAGCAACGCCGCGUGAGGGAAGAAGGCCUUCGGGUUGUAAACCUCUUUUGUCAGGGAAGAAUAAUGACGGUACCUGAUGAAUAAGUCACGGCUAACUACGUGCCAGCGGCUGCGGUAAUACGUAGGUGGCAAGCGUUAUCCGGAUUCAUUGGGCGUAAAGAGCGCGUAGGUGGUCCUUCAAGUCACAUGUUAAAUUUCUCGGCUUAACUGGGAAUGGUCAUCUGAUACUGCUGGACUUGAGGGCGGUAGAGGGAGGUGGAAUUCCCGGUGUAGUGGUGAAAUGCGUAGAUAUCGGGAGGAACACCAGUGGCGAAAGCGGCCUCCUAGGCCGUUCCUGACACUGAGGCGCGAAAGCGUGGGGAGCGAACAGGAUCAGAUACCCUGGUAGUCCACGCCCUAAACUGUGGAAACUAGGUACAGGGAGUAUCGACCCUUCCUGCGCCGUAGCUAACGCGUUAAGUUUCCCGCCUGGGGACUACGGUCGCAAGACUAAAACUCAAAUGAAUUGACGGUGGGCCUUUUCCUAGGCUACCCC
rnacentral:rRNA from 1 species